UAAAAACGAAAAAAAA
rnacentral:sRNA from 1 species